rnacentral:pre_miRNA from 1 species
UGGCGCUCCCAGCUCAAGCCCCCACGUGGCUACCACGUGGCAGCCGAGCGAGGGCCUCGGGGGUGUUU